rnacentral:rRNA from 1 species
AGUAGCGGUGAAAUGCGUAGAUAUCUGGAGGAAUACCAAAGGCGAAGGCAGUCCCCUGGUCCGAUACUGACACUGAGGUACGAAAGCGUGGGGAGCAAACAGGAUUAGAUACCCUGGUAGUCCACGCCCUAAACGAUGUCGAUUAGCCAUUGGAAGGACCCCUUUUCCUUCCAGUGACGUAGCUAACGCGUUAAAUCGACCGCCUGGGAAGUACGACCGCAAGGUUAAAACUCAAAGGAAUUGACGGGGACCUGAACAAGCGGUGAAUGAUGUGGAUUAAUUCGAUGCUACGCGAAGAACCUUACCUACCUUUGACAUGGCCAAAGUUCUACCGAGAGGCGGAAGUACUCGUAAGAGGAUUGGCGCACAGGUGCUGCAUGGUUGUCGUCAGUUCGUGUCGUGAGAUGUUGGGUUCAGUCCCGCAACGAACGCAACCCUUAUCUUUAAUUGCUCCUAUUUUAACAGGCACUUUAAAGAAACUGCCAAUGAUAAGUUGGAGGAAGGUGGGGAUCACGUCAAGUCCGCAUGGCCUUUAUAGGUAGGGCUUCACACGUCAUACAAUGGUUAGAACAAAGAGCUGCAAAUUCGUAAGAAGGAGCCAAUCUCACAAACCUAACCUCAGUUCGAAUUGCGGUCUGCAACUCGAGCGCAUGAAGCCGGAAUCGCUAGUAAUCGUGGAUCAGAAUGCCA